rnacentral:rRNA from 1 species
UGGGGAAUAUUGCACAAUGGGCGCAAGCCUGAUGCAGCCAUGCCGCGUGUAUGAAGAAGGCCUUCGGGUUGUAAAGUACUUUCAGCGGGGAGGAAGGGAGUAAAGUUAAUACCUUUGCUCAUUGACGUUACCCGCAGAAGAAGCACCGGCUAACUCCGUGCCAGCAGCCGCGGUAAUACGGAGGGUGCAAGCGUUAAUCGGAAUUACUGGGCGUAAAGCGCACGCAGGCGGUUUGUUAAGUCAGAUGUGAAAUCCCCUGGCUCAACCUGGGAACUGCAUCUGAUACUGGCAAGCUUGAGUCUCGUAGAGGGGGGUAGAAUUCCAGGUGUAGCGGUGAAAUGCGUAGAGAUCUGGAGGAAUACCGGUGGCGAAGGCGGCCCCCUGGACGAAGACUGACGCUCAGGUGCGAAAGCGUGGGGAGCAAACAGG